UACGUAGGGCGCAAGCGUUAUCCGGAAUUAUUGGGCGUAAAGAGCUCGUAGGCGGUUUGUCGCGUCUGCCGUGAAAGUCCGGGGGCUCAACUCCGGAUCUGCGGUGGGUACGGGCAGACUAGAGUGAUGUAGGGGGAGACUGGAAUUCCUGGUGUAGCGGUGAAAUGCGCAGAUAUCAGGAGGAACACCGAUGGCGAAGACAGGUCUCUGGGCAUUAACUGACGCUGAGGAGCGAAAAGCAUGGGGGAGCGAACAGG
rnacentral:rRNA from 1 species